AGUCCAGCGAACUUGGCAGAGAUGCCUUGGUGCCUUCGGGAACGCUGAGACAGGUGCUGCAUGGCUGUCGUCAGCUCGUGUUGUGAAAUGUUGGGUUAAGUCCCGCAACGAGCGCAACCCUUAUCCUUUGUUGCCAGCGAUUCGGUCGGGAACUCAAAGGAGACUGCCGGUGAUAAACCGGAGGAAGGUGGGGAUGACGUCAAGUCAUCAUGGCCCUUACGAGUAGGGCUACACACGUGCUACAAUGGCGCAUACAAAGAGAAGCGACCUCGCGAGAGCAAGCGGACCUCAUAAAGUGCGUCGUAGUCCGGAUCGGAGUCUGCAACUCGACUCCGUGAAGUCGGAAUCGCUAGUAAUCGUGGAUCAGAAUGCCACGGUGAAUACGUUCCCGGGCCUUGUACACACCGCCCGUCACACCAUGGGAGUGGGUUGCAAAAGAAGUAGGUAGCUUAACCUUCGGGAGGGCGCUUACCACUUUGUGAUUCAUGACUGGGGUGAAGUCGUAACAAGGUAGGCGUAGCGAG
rnacentral:rRNA from 1 species